ACAAAGGCUCUUUUCAGAGCCACCUAAGCUUUCAAGAGAAGGGCGU
rfam:Anas platyrhynchos breed Pekin duck contig23307, whole genome shotgun sequence.